rnacentral:rRNA from 1 species
UACGGAGGGGGCGAGGCGUUGUCCGAAGUUACUGGGCGUAAAGCGCGACGUAGGCGGGGAGCCGAAGAUCCGCUGUGAAAGCCUGAGGCUUAACCUCAGCGGGUCGGUGGAUACUGGUUCUCUUGAAGGCGUUAGGGGGAGAGUGGAAUUCCAACGUGUAGCGGUGAAAUGACGUAGAGAUGUGGAGGAACACCAGUGGCGAAGGCGACUUUUCUGGUCUGUAACUGACGCUGAGGCGCGAAAGCGUGGGGAGCAAACAGG